rnacentral:tRNA from 1 species
UGCAUCGUAGCUCAGUGGGUAGAGCACCGCGCUGUUAACGCGGAUGUCACAGGUUCGAGGCCUGUCGAUGCAGCCA